rnacentral:rRNA from 1 species
UCAAGCGUUGUUCGGAUUCAUUGGGCGUAAAGGGUGCGUAGGUGGCGUCGUAAGUCGGGUGUGAAAUUUCGGAGCUUAACUCCGAAACUGCAUUCGAUACUGCGGUGCUUGAGGACUGGAGAGGAGACUGGAAUUUACGGUGUAGCAGUGAAAUGCGUAGAGAUCGUAAGGAAGACCAGUGGCGAAGGCGGGUCUCUGGACAGUUCCUGACACUGAGGCACGAAGGCCAGGGGAGCAAACGGG